rnacentral:rRNA from 1 species
UACGGGGGGAGCAAGCGUUGUUCGGAUUUACUGGGCGUAAAGGGCGCGUAGGCGGCCUGCUAAGUCGGACGUGAAAUCCCUCGGCUCAACCGGGGAACUGCGUCCGAUACUGGCGGGCUUGAAUCCGGGAGAGGAAUGCGGAAUUCCAGGUGUAGCGGUGAAAUGCGUAGAUAUCGGGAGGAACACCAAUGGCGAAGGCAGCUUGCUGGGACGGUACUGACGCUGAGGCGCGAAAGCGUGGGGAGCAAACAGGAUUAGAAACC